CCUGAAGCUGCCAUGCUGGGAAGACCAUGUGGUGAGAUCAGAGAGAAAUGGAGAAAGAUGCUUAAGGAGUGCUUGUUGUUUUGUUCCCCAGCUGUUGGAGUCUUCCCAGGCCAGAUGCCAGAUGUAUGAGUUAACAAGCCGACAGGUGACACCGCUCCCAGACUGACCCCAUCAGCUGGGACGAGUGGAGAAAGGAUGAGGACACUAAGGCUUAUGGUGGUGGAGAGACUUGGCUAAGGUCGCCCAGCUUAUAAACAGCACAGCAGGAAUGCAGACUUCCUGUCCAGCAUUCUUUCUUCAACUCAUGGUU
rnacentral:lncRNA from 1 species